rnacentral:rRNA from 1 species
UAUUUGAAAGGAGCUGUCCCUAGUACGAGAGGACCGGGAUGGACGCACCGCUGGUGCACCAGUUGUCAUGCCAAUGGCACAGCUGGGCAGCUAAGUGCGGAACGGAUAAACGCUGAAGGCAUCUAAGCGUGAAGCCGACCUUAAGAUAAGAUAUCCCUUCGUAAGAGUAAGACCUCUCAUAGACUAUGAGUUUGAUAGGCUCAAAGUGUAAGCGUGGUGACACGUUCAGCUUGCGAGUACUAAUCGGUCGAGGGCUUUUCCU